rnacentral:tmRNA from 1 species
GGGGGCGUACUGGUAUCGACAGGAAAGUGAACUGAUUAGUAAGCAUGCCGGAGUAUGAUAGUUUAUCUCCGUUAAAAACUGGCUAUUAAACACAAUUUUACAUGGCAACUAUAAUUAUGCCAUGGCUGCCUAAUCUUAGAGAUUAGAUAGCCUUUGUGCCCCACGGUUGAUUCUCGCUACACAUCGUGCCGCACAUCAUCAACCCUGCGAGAGUAGGUUGGCUGUUUUCUCUGCCAGUUGACCGAAAUUUAAGGAGAUACGGUUGAGCCAGGUUGGUACCGGCACCUUCCCUCAACCCGACAAUUAAAGCAGGUACUAAGCAUGUAGAAAGCUCUUUGGUGCUUUCUCUGGACCCGAGUUCGACUCUCGGCGCCUCCACAA